rnacentral:rRNA from 1 species
UACGGAGGGUGCAAGCGUUAUCCGGAUUCACUGGGUUUAAAGGGUGCGUAGGCGGGUAAGUAAGUCCGUGGUGAAAUCUCUGAGCUUAACUCAGAAACUGCCGUGGAUACUAUUUGCCUUGAAUAUUGUGGAGGUGAGCGGAAUAUGUCAUGUAGCGGUGAAAUGCUUAGAUAUGACAUAGAACACCAAUUGCGAAGGCAGCUCACUACACAAUCAUUGACGCUGAGGCACGAAAGCGUGGGGAGCGAACCGG